rnacentral:rRNA from 1 species
AGAGUUUGAUCCUGGCUCAGAUCGAACGCUGGCGGCGUGGCUAAAACAUGCAAGUCGAACGCGAAAGCUCCCUUCGGGGAGCCGGUAGAGUGGCGGAAGGGCGAGGAAUACGUGGGCAACGUACCCUAUGCUUGGGGAUAGCCGCGGGAAACCGCGGGUAAUACCCAAUGAGACCACGGCACCACAAGGUGCAGCGGUCAAAGACGGGGAUCCCUUCGGGGACCUGUUGGCGUGGGAGCGGCCCAUGUCCUAUCAGCUUGUUGGCGAGGUAACGGCUCACCAAGGCUACGACGGGUACCGGGACUGAGAGGUUGGCCCGGCGCAUUGGGACUGAGACACUGCCCAGACUCCUACGGGAGGCUGCAGUAACGAAUAUUCCGCAAUGGGCGAAAGCCUGACGGAGCGACGCCGCGUGUGGGAAUAAGCCCCUCGGGGUGUAAACCACUGUCAGGGACCACCAAGCAAAGUGGGUUAAUACCCCAUGGCGCUGAGGAAUCCCAGAGGAAGCCACGGCUAACUUCGUGCCAGCAGCCGCGGUAAGACGAAGGUGGCAAGCGUUGUUCGGAAUCAUUGGGCUUAAAGCGCAUGUAGGCGGCUCAUCAAGCGUCUUGUGAAAUCCCUCGGCUCAACCGAGGAAUGGCUGGGCGAACUGAUCGGGCUUGAGGCAGGUAGGGGCGCGUGGAACUCUUGGUGGAGCGGUGGAAUGCGUAGAUAUCAAGAGGAACGCCGGUGGCGAAGGCGACGCGCUGGGCCUGUCCUGACGCUGAGAUGCGAAAGCCAGGGGAGCAAACGGGAUUAGAUACCCCGGUAGUCCUGGCCCUAAACGAUGUCCACUAGGUCGGAGGUUCUCUGACGGGUUUCCGGCCGAAACAAAAGCGUUAAGUGGACCGCCUGGGGAGUACGGUCGCAAGGCUAAAACUCAAAGGAAUUGACGGGGGCUCACACAAGCGGUGGAGCAUGUUGCUUAAUUCGAUACAACGCGAAGAACCUUAUCCUGGGCUUGACAUGUUUGGAUGCCUCCCUGGAAACAGGGUUGGCUGCCCUUCGGGGUGAAACUUGCACAGGUGCUGCAUGGCUGUCGUCAGCUCGUGUCGUGAGAUGUUGGGUUAAGUCCCGUAACGAGCGAAACCCUUGUCGCUAGUUGCCAGCGCGUGAUGGCGGGGACUCUAGCGAGACUGCCGGUGUUAAACCGGAGGAAGGUGGGGAUGACGUCAAGUCCUCAUGGCCUUUAUGCCCAGGGCCGCAAACGUGCUACAAUGGCUGGUACAAACCGAUGCAAGACCGCGAGGUGGAGCAAAUCGGAAAAAGCCCGCCCCAGUUCGGAUUGCAGUCUGAAACUCGACUGCAUGAAGGUGGAAUCGCUAGUAAUCGCAGAUCAGCUAUGCUGCGGUGAAUGUGUUCCUGAGCCUUGUACACACCGCCCGUCAAGUCAUGGAAGCCGGUAGUGCCCGAAGUCGCCAUGAUUCAGUGGUGCCGAAGGUGAGAUCGGUGACUGGGACUAAGUCGAAACAAGGUA